UUAAAGUUUGAUCCUUGCUUUUUUCUUUAUUAUAAGAAUAACGUUACAUGAAAGUUAAUGCGAGAGUAAUUUAAAAAUAAAUUUUUAUUAUUAAUUCUCAGUAUAUAAUUUUGGAAUUAAGUUAAAACUUGAUCCAGUAAUUCUUUAAUUUCAGGCUAAAUUUGUGCCAGCAGCCGCGGUUAGACUAAAAAGUGAAAAUAAAGACCAAAAGAUAUUAGUUAAAAAUAGAGAUUUUAAAAACUUAGGGUCAUGAGUUUAAAGAGUGAAAUCUAUAUAUUUAUUAGUGAUGUGUUGUUUUUGAAAUUUUUUUUAAAACUAUCGAAAUUUAGAUCUAAACCAGGAUUAGAUACCCUGUUAUACUAAAAUGAAACAUAAUUACACUUGAGUAGUAAAAAGUUAUGAUCUCGAAACUUAAAGGAUUUGGCGGUAUUUAAUUCUAGUUAGAGGAACCUGCUCUGUAAACGAUAUGCCACGAAUUAUCUUACUUUACUUAGUAUCCAGUUUGUAUACCUCCAUUACAAGUAAUAUUUUUAAAUAUUUUCUGAGAUAGAAAGUUUCUAGUAUAUUAGGUCAAGGUGCAGCCAAUGGUAAAGUAGCUGUGGGUUACAAUAUGUUAUACAUUUGUGGAUAAGUGUUAUGAAAUUAUACUUUGAAAUUGGAUUUAAUUGUAUUCUUAAAAUAAUAAGUUAAGAUGAUAAUAGCUCUAAAAUAUGUACACAUCGCCCGUCGCUCUCAUUAUAAGGUGAGAUAAGUCGUAACAUAGUGGUUGUAUUGGAAGAUGCAUCUGGAAGUAU
rnacentral:ncRNA from 1 species